rnacentral:snRNA from 1 species
UAUCUGUUCUUAUUUCUGAUACGCCCCCGACAAGGGGGCUUCGAUAUUAAACUGCUUUUUGAUUCUCGGUGAAGUGUCAGGGGCUUGCUCCACCUUCGCCACGGGUCGAC